rnacentral:rRNA from 1 species
AUUGAACGCUGGCGGCAGGCCUAACACAUGCAAGUCGAACGAGUGGCGGACGGGUGAGUAAUGUCUGGGAACCUGCCUGAUGGAGGGGGCUAACUACUGGAAACGGUAGCUAAUACCGCAUACCAUCGGAUGUGCCCAGAUGGGAUUAGCUUGUGGGUGGGGUAAAGGCUCACCAAGUCGACGCUCCCUAGCUGGUCUGAGAGGAUGACCAGCCACACUGGAACUGAGACACGGUCCAGACUCCUACGGGAGGCAGCAGUGGGGAAUAUUGGACAAUGGGCGAAAGCCUGAUGCAGCCAUGCCGAGUGUAUGAAGAAGGUCUUCGGGUUGUAAAGUACUUUAAGUUGGGAGGCGUUACCAGCAGAAGAAGCACCGGCUAACUCCGUGCCAGCAGCCGCGGUAAUAC